GGGGACCUUCGGGGCCCUGACAACAGCCGGCUAACCGCCCGCAAAGCAACGGAAGACAGAA
rnacentral:ncRNA from 1 species